UUACUAUUGAUGCUAAAUUGUCACUGAUAGUUGGAUUCAAUCUAUUUUUGAGAGAGUCGUAAACUUUUCCCAGGAUGUGCUCGUUUACGAGGCAUUUGUCUGAUUCGAUU
rfam:Drosophila ficusphila unplaced genomic scaffold scf7180000453811, whole genome shotgun sequence